GACGAACGCUGGCGGCGUGCUUAACACAUGCAAGUCGAACGAUGAAGAAGAGAAACGCGAACUUCGGUUCAAAUUUCACUUCGGAUUAGUGGCAGACGGGUGAGUAACGCGUGAGCAACCUACCUCUUACAAAGGGAUAGCCUCGGGAAACCGUGAUUAACACCAUAUGACACAUUCAUAAGGCAUCUUAAGAAUGUUAAAGCUACGGCGGUAAGAGAUGGGCUCGCGUCCCAUUAGCUAGUUGGUGAGGUAACGGCCCACCAAGGCGACGAUGGGUAACCGGCCUGAGAGGGUGAACGGUCACAUUGGAACUGAGACACGGUCCAAACUCCUACGGGAGGCAGCAGUGGGGAAUAUUGCACAAUGGAGGGAACUCUGAUGCAGCGACGCCGCGUGAGCGAUGAAGGAAUUCGUUUCGUAAAGCUCCGUUCUAUGGGAAGAAAAGGACUGUACCAUAGGAGAAAGCCCCGGCUAAAUACGUG
rnacentral:rRNA from 1 species